CCUACGGGAGGCAGCAGUGGGGAAUAUUGGACAAUGGGCGAAAGCCUGAUCCAGCCAUGCCGCGUGAGUGAUGAAGGCCUUAGGGUUGUAAAGCUCUUUUAUCCGGGAAGAUAAUGACUGUACCGGAAGAAUAAGCCCCGGCUAACUUCGUGCCAGCAGCCGCGGUAAUACGAAGGGGGCUAGCGUUGCUCGGAAUCACUGGGCGUAAAGGGCGCGUAGGCGGAUGAUUAAGUCGGAGGUGAAAGCCCAGGGCUCAACCCUGGAAUUGCCUUCGAUACUGAUCGUCUCGAGAAUGGAAGAGGUAAGUGGAAUACCGAGUGUAGAGGUGAAAUUCGUAGAUAUUCGGUGGAACACCAGUGGCGAAGGCGACUUACUGGUCCAUUUCUGACGCUGAGGCGCGAAAGCGUGGGGAUCAAACAGGAUUAGAUACCCUGGUAGUCCACGCCGUAAACGAUGAAUGCCACGCGUGGGUAGGCUGUCUCUUCUAGUGGCGCNGCUAACGUACUUAACGUACACUUCCGUCCGUCGGGGUAGGUACGGUCGGCGAAGAAUUAAAACUAACAAAGGAAAGUUAGUACGGCGUGAGACGUGCCGAACGGACGACCGACGAGGGAGGUAGG
rnacentral:rRNA from 1 species